UAUGUGAUCGUCUCUCGCAUAUCAAUAAGCGGAGGAAAAGAAACUAACAAGGAUUCCCCUAGUAACGGCGAGUGAAGCGGGAAGAGCUCAAAUUUGAAAUCUUAAAGGGUUUCCCUUUACGAAUUGUAGUUUAAAGAAGUGUUUUCUGUUGAGGUUUUGGUAAAAGUUCUUUGGAAUAGGACAUCAUAGAGGGUGAGAAUCCCGUAUUUGACCUUUACUUUCAACUUUGUGACACACUUUCAAAGAGUCGGAUUGUUUGGGAAUGCAGUCCAAAAUGGGUGGUAAAUUUCAUCUAAAGCUAAAUAUUGGCGAGAGACCGAUAGCGAACAAGUACCGUGAGGGAAAGAUGAAAAGAACUUUGAAAAGAGAGUUAAACAGUACGUGAAAUUGUCAAAAGGGAAGCGUUUGACACCAGUGUUGUUUUUCUGAAAAUCAAUUAAAGAACUGUUUAUGCUAAGCUGUUUAGACUUUAUCAGCUAUCUGUUUAGUUUUGAGCUUUUCUUUAAUGCACUUUUCAGUUAACAAGUCAACAUCAAUUUCUUUUGCUGUAAAAAAGCUUGAGGAAGGUGGCUUGAGAUUCGUCUUAAGUGUUUAUAGCCUCUUGCCUAUGCAGUCGGAGAGAUUGAGGUCUGCAGCGUAGAUCCUUCGGGGCUAAAUGCAUUUGUGCUAAGUUAUAGCAUUUUAUAGACAACUUGUUGACUAUGAUUUGUCUUGUAGCUUACUCGCUUAUGUUAUUUUACCUACGCUUAGGAUGUUGAACGCGCACAGAGUCUC
rnacentral:rRNA from 1 species